GUCUGAGAAGAUGCUAUUCACCAUGGCGGGGAGAGCGAGGCAGCUGGUCACUGUGUGUCUGACGUGAAGAAGCAGAACUUGGAUGCUGAUGGAGCCAGCCCCGAUCCACCCUUGGCAAAGAUGGAAAAAGACUGUAGGUCAAAGCCAGAGUAGUUUGCCUCAUGCUGCCUUCUUCCCCUCGUGUCUAACUAAGACAGUCUUCCCCAUGCCGGGAUGAAGGAAAGCGUGUCCAAGCAUAGUGAACAGAGAAAGCAAAUCUGCAUCCGAUGUACAUCUACUCCAAUAACCAAAUUAUCUCCUCCAUGAUAAAGGAUCCGUCACAAUCAGCCUCCUGGGCACAUGGAACAAGAGGUUGCCCAUGUGUUGGUACCAGCCCCGAUGCGACCCUACCGCUGUGUCAUGGGAAAACUUCCGGGUGAGGGUAGGAGUCUAUCCCGUUGCUCCUGUGUGCGGUUGAAUCUCACACUAUCCAGGUAGCUGGAACAGGAGACAGCCACAGUGGAAGGACCUGAGAUAGAAAUUCUUAACUGACAUCCAAGGAAGAAAUUAAGGGAAGGAACCUGAAGAGCCUGAACUCAAAGUGUGUUUACUGCAUUAUUAAUCAGUUGGUGCUCUUAUUGAUGAACCAUUGGAAGCUGAAGAGAAACUUAGAGUGCAACCACAGGGCUGAGAUUUUACAUAAAUCAUCCAUGUUCCUGUGCUCUGAGCAUCAUCUGAAUCAUUCUAUGUAUAGCCAUGUUUAUAAAGCUAUGAGAUGUAUUAUUGAUCUUCUUCCAUUAGAACUACUCAGGCCCUGCUGGUUGGGAACCUUACCUUGUCUAUGGACAGGUGCCAGUGAAUAGUGUCUCAAUACGCAUGUGAUAAUCUGCAGGAUCUCUUCAAAGAGCUUGUCUGCCGUGACAAACAGGAUCGGUGGGCAAUGGAGAUGGUGACACUGCUGUUUAUUUUCCCUGGUCUUUGUUUCUCUCUCUCAGAAAUGGUAGUCCAUUUGGUGGCAAAGGGCUAAGGCAGCCUCUGAUCCUUCUUUGGAGUGUGAACUAUUCCACCAUUUUCUAAGACAGGUGAUCUCAUUCAGAGGCCAAUGAGAAACCACCUCACUGUACUGGAGAACCUUCUUGUACUUCAAUUUCCAUGUCAAUAAAAUGGGGGUGCUAAGACUAUUUCACGAAAU